CAGUCGCCGCGGUAAUACGAAGGGUGCAAACGUUACUCGGAAUUACUGGGCGUAAAGCGUGCGUAGGUGGUUGUUUAAGUCUGCUGUGAAAGCCCUGGGCUCAACCUGGGAAUUGCAGUGGAUACUGGGCAACUAGAGUAAGGUAGAGGAUAGUGGAAUUUCCGGUGUAGCAGUGAAAUGCGUAGAGAUCGGAAGGAACAUCUGUGGCGAAGGCGACUAUCUGGGCCAUUACUGACACUGAGGCACGAAAGCGUGGGGAGCAAACAGGAUUAGAUACCCGUGUAGUCCCUGUCUCUUAUAC
rnacentral:rRNA from 1 species